AUGGACGGGGAGUGGCCGCAAUACAACAGUGUUGUGUACAAUGAUCUUGACCCGUUCAUGACAAGUGAACAUAGCCACCUAUUGCAGCACGACCAUGGUGAUGAGACAUAUGGUCUACUUGGAGCCACUGCCAACGUGGGAAUGAUUGAUAAUACCAACGUUGUUGCUGGAAACCAAGGAAACAACAACGUAGAAACCUACAGUGAGCAGAGGAUGGAGACAAGGCGUACCAACUAUCACCGUCUCCGCAGAGAACAGAUCCAACAACUUGAAGCUGUCUUCCGGGAAAUCCCUUAUCCUGAUGAGAAACUCCGGAAGAGCCUUAAACUAGUAUUCAUCGAUAGCUCGAGCUCCAAUAGCAAAUCCUACAAUGGCAAGACGCAAAGGCGGGAGACCACCACUCUUCAGUUGGAGAACCAGAUGCUAAAAUCUGACAGGGAAGCCAUCAUGUCGGCUAUGGAAAAUAGCACUUGCCUCAAAUGCAGAGGGGCGGUGGUUCAAACUCAGGACACCUCAGAGCGCCAUAGCUUGUUCAAGGAGAAUAUGAAGCUCAAGGAGGAACUUAGGCUUGCCGCCACCCAUCUUAAAGAGGGUCUCCAACAAAAUGGAAUGUGGCCCUGA
rnacentral:rRNA from 1 species